GAGGAUGGAUUAGUGAGCACUGCUAGAGGGGCAGUGGCCUGAAGGACACUCUCAAGCAGUGAGCAACGUGGGUCCAGAUGCCAACGGAGGACAAGAGACGGAUGGGAUGCUGCCAACAGAGGGCGUUCCCCAUGGACUGAGCUAAUUCCCGGAGCGACCAGCGGGAGGCGCCAUGGUGGUAUGACAGGAAUAGGAGCCUCCUUCCCAGCUGUCUACCAGGCCCUGGGAUCUGGCACAGCCUCCCAGACGGGCGCAUCUGGUAGCUGAGCCGCGUCAGGGAGCAGUGGGGACAGGUCACCUCGUCCCAUCCAAGCAAGCAAUGCUGACUCUCAAAGAGGCUUAGAUGGAAGACCCCAGUCCCUCAUGGAGACAGUCAGCCCGUGAGGCCAGUUUGCAGAAUGGGGAAGAGCCCUUUGGCGAGGCGUUGGAGGAUUCACCAUGAAGGUGGCAGCAGCGGCAGUGCCUGGGUCCCCAUGGGCCAAGCCUCCACUCCUGACACUCCAGGCUAAUCUCCCCCUGCUCUCAGUGGGGCUUGGCUUUAGCUGCUGGGCCUGUGAGUCUAGACCAGGGGUCUCAAACUCAAAUGACCAUGAGGGCUGCUUGAGGACUAGUUCAUUGGCCCGAGGGCUGCAUU